rnacentral:rRNA from 1 species
GGCGAACGGGUGAGUAACACGUAGGUGAUCUGCCCUUGAGUUGGGGAUAGCCCAUGGAAACAUGGAGUAAUACCGAAUACGAUCCGGACCUUAUGGGGACCGGAGGAAAAGCGCUUCGGCGCUGCUCGAGGAUGAGCCUGCGGCUGAUUAGCUAGUUGGUGGGGUAAAGGCCUACCAAGGCGACGAUCAGUAGCCGGCCUGAGAGGGUGAGCGGCCACACUGGGACUGAGAUACGGCCCAGACUCCUACGGGAGGCAGCAGCUAAGAAUCUUCCGCAAUGGACGAAAGUCUGACGGAGCGACGCCGCGUGGGUGAUGAAGGCCGGAAGGUUGUAAAGCCCUUUUCUAUCUGAGGAAUAAGCCUACGAGGCAAUGCGUGGGUGAUGACGGUAGGGUAGGAAUAAGCCCCGGCCAAUUACGUGCCAGCAGCCGCGGUAACACGUAUGGGGCGAGCGUUGUUCGGAAUCAUUGGGCGUAAAGGGCGCGCAGGCGGUUAUACAAGCCUGGUGUGAAAGACCACAGCUCAACUGUGGGGCCGCACUGGGAACUGUAUGACUGGAGUUCAAGAGGGGAAGCUGGAAUUCCU